CCUUAUACGACCGUACCGCAAACCGACACUGGUGCGCGAGAUGAGUAUUCUAAGGCGCUUGAGAGAACUCAGGAGAAGGAACUCGGCAAAUUGACACCGUAACUUCGGAAGAAGGUGUGCCCUAUUAGUGUGUAGUGAACAACGAAGCAUGAAUGGGUUGCAAAAAAUCGGUGGCUGCGACUGUUUAUUAAAAACACAGCACUCUGCAAACACGAAAGUGGACGUAUAGGGUGUGACGCCUGCCCGGUGCUGGAAGAUUAAAUGAUGGGGUGCAAGCUCUUGAUUGAAGUCCCAGUAAACGGCGGCCGUAACGAUAACGGUCCUAAGGUAGCGAAAUUCCUUGUCGGGUAAGUUCCGACCUGCACGAAUGGCGUAACGAUGGCCACACUGUCUCCUCCUGAGACUCAGCGAAGUUGAAAUGUUUGUGAUGAUGCAAUCUCCCCGCGGAAAGACGGAAAGACCCCAUGAACCUUUACUGUAGCUUUGUAUUGGACUUUGAACAGAUCUGUGUAGGAUAGGUGGGAGGCUUUGAAGCAGGGUCGCUAGAUCUUGUGGAGCCAACGUUGAAAUACCACCCUGGUGUGUUUGAGGUUCUAACCUAGGUCCAUUAUCUGGAUCGGGGACAGUGCAUGGUAGGCAGUUUGACUGGGGCGGUCUCCUCCCAAAGCGUAACGGAGGAGUUCGAAGGUACGCUAGUUACGGUCGGACAUCGUGACGAUAGUGCAAUGGCAUAAGCGUGCUUAACUGCGAGACUGACAAGUCGAGCAGAUGCGAAAGCAGGACAUAGUGAUCCGGUGGUUCUGUAUGGAAGGGCCAUCGCUCAACGGAUAAAAGGUACUCUGGGGAUAACAGGCUGAUACCGCCCAAGAGUUCAUAUCGACGGCGGUGUUUGGCACCUCGAUGUCGGCUCAUCUCAUCCUGGGGCUGUAGCCGGUCCCAAGGGUAUGGCUGUUCGCCAUUUAAAGAGGUACGUGAGCUGGGUUUAAAACGUCGUGAGACAGUUUGGUCCCUAUCUUCCGUGGGCGCUGCAGAUUUGAGGAAGCCUGCUCCUAGUACGAGAGGACCGGAGUGGACACACCUCUGGUGUAUCGGUUGUCACGCCAGUGGCAUUGCCGAGUAGCUAAGUGUGGAAGAGAUAACCGCUGAAAGCAUCUAAGCGGGAAACUCGUUUCAAGAUGAGAUCUGCCGGGGCCUUGAGCCCCCUAAAGAGUCGUUCAAGACCAGGACGUUGAUAGGUCAGGUGUGGAAGC
rnacentral:rRNA from 1 species